rnacentral:rRNA from 1 species
GAUGAACGCUGGCGGCGUGCCUAAUACAUGCAAGUCGAGCGAACGGACGAGAAGCUUGCUUCUCUGAUGUUAGCGGCGGGCGGGUGAGUAACACGUGGAUAACCUACCUAUAAGACUGGGGUAACUUCGGGAAACCGGAGCUAAUACCGGAUCAUAUUUUGAACCGCAUGGAUCAAAAGUGAAAGACGGUCUUGCUGUCACUUAUAGAUGGAUCCGCGCUGCAUUAGCUAGUUGGUAAGGUAACGGCUCACCAAGGCAACGAUGCAUAGCCGACCUGAGAGGGUGAUCAGCCACACUGGAACUGAGACACGGUCCAGACUCCUACGGGAGGCAGCAGUAGGGAAUCUUGCGCAAUGGGCGAAAGCCUGACGGAGCAACGCCGCGUGAGUGAUGAAGGUCUUCGGGUCGUAAAACUCUGUUAUUAGGGAAGAACAUAUGUGUAAGUAUCUGUGCACAUCUUGACGGUACCUAAACAGAAAGCCACGGCUAACUACGUG